rnacentral:rRNA from 1 species
GCCGGAUUAGCUGAGAGGUGGUGCAUGGCCGUCGUCAGUUCGUACUGUGAAGCAUCCUGUUAAGUCAGGCAACGAGCGAGACCCACGCCCACAGUUGCCAGCGUACUCUCUGGAGUGACGGGUACACUGUGGGGACCGCCGCUGCUAAAGCGGAGGAAGGAAUGGGCAACGGUAGGUCAGUAUGCCCCGAAUAUCCCGGGCUACACGCGAGCUACAAUGGUUGGUACAAUGGGUAUCUACCCCGAAAGGGGACGGGAAUCUCCUAAAACCAAUCUUAGUUCGGAUUGAGGGCUGCAACUCGCCCUCAUGAAGCUGGAAUCCGUAGUAAUCGCGUUUCAACAGAACGCGGUGAAUACGUCCCUGCUCCUU